UCUCUCUCUCCUCUCUCUCUCUCUCUCUCUCUCUCUCUCUCUCUCUCUCUCUCUCUCUCUCUCUCUCUCUCUUCCAUUUGGCUAUUGCAGUAAUGAGUUUUGGUAGUUGGGAUGCGUAAUGUUGCCAUUUGUGGAUUCGCCUGAAAUAUUUCUCGAUUUGAUUAAAUCUUCUGAAAUUGGUACAAAUUCCAGUAAUUUCAUGAUUUUUAAUAUAACAGGGGAAAACUAUCAAAUAACAGCUCCUAUCAUUAUGAACUCUAAUAAAGAAGGUAUGCAAAAGGAUGUACCAUAAAACCUUCGAAUAACAAACUCUUUCUUACAACCUGAACAUUUUUAUUUCCAAAAUUUUCUUGUAUGAAUUUCAAAACUAGAUAGAGUGCAAUUUUCAACAAUGAUAGAACUGUUAUCAAAAUUAAAUAAAAAAAUUAUUAACCUGCAACUAGAUGCAGUAACACCAAUAAAUCAAUAAUAUUUCUGACUCAUCUCUAUGUUCUCCUCUUUUUCAGGAACAAAACUCUUAUCGUGAAAAAACUCUUCUCGCUGCUUCAAAACCGAAGAAAAGUGUGAAUAGUAGGCCGCCUACGAGUAGUCUUCACCAGCGAUUCAACAUUUUAUUCUCAAUAAUUUAAAAUAACUAAAAUAAAUAAGACCUAAGUAGAUUCUACAAGUGUAAUUUUAAGAGUUUAUUUUCAUAUUUAUACUUUAAUGGAUUGUAAUACCAAUGAUGUUACAGAUUAUGGUGGUAGAAUUGAGAGAUUGGUGGAAGACUGAAUUGUUAUGAAAUAAUUAUACCAAACAUUUGUUUCAGAUAUGUAUUAGGUGUAAAACAAUGUAUUCUGGCGGCUUCACCCCUAAAAACCUCCAUCUUGGACCUUUUUUUUAAUUUUCCCAUUUCCUUUUUCUUAGAAAAAGCAUUCUCUACACAAUUAAAGACAAUAGAUUUUUUUUAAUUGAGUCGCGCAGGAUUUUGGAGCUACAGAUUUUCAAAAAAAAGGUAUUUUUCAAGGUUUUUUUUUAAUUCUGGAAACUCAAUACUAUCACUAUACAUACAUACAACUUGGAAUAUUAUAAAGUAAUGAUGAAAAAACGCAUUUCAUGUAAAAGUACAAUUAAUUCUCAACAGGAUUCUUCAGGAAUUUAGUAUAGGAUGGACGGGGAAAACUCGUCAAACAGAAAACUAAAGUAUAAAUUUUGAAGGUUCAUGUAACCUGUCAAAUCAAUAGCUUGGAUCAUAUUGUUAUACAAGGGUUAUGUUCCAAGAGAAUCAGCACUUGAUUCCAGGAUUUUUAGUGAGGAAAAACUACCACUUAAUUUAUUAGAAAUGCUAUUCUCUUCAAUUUUGUAGAGAAUGGGUUUUCUCGAAAAACACAAAAUAAAAUGAAGAAAAGGUCCAAGAUUUGUGGGUUUUUAGGGUUUGAAGUUGUCGUCUGGCGUAUCAGCAAAUUUCAGUUUCAAAUUCAGCUCCGCGAAAUAAAUAUUGAACCGACGAUGGGCUGUUUCGUGGAAAAUGACCAUUUGACUGGACUGAUAAUAUAAUUUGAAAUAGCAAUCAUUUCUCAGAUUAUCCAAAUUGAACAAUACUGUACGUACCCCAAUAAAUAUUAUUUCAAGUUUUCUGUUCAAUUUUGGAUAAAAGUCAAGCUAUUGUUAAUUUUUCAUCACAAUUGUAAUUGGUAAUAGAUGCGGCGAAACAGAUUGUUACAGUACGAAGCUGAGCUCAGUACGAGGUUCGCGGAGAGUGAAUUAUGACACGAUAGUUUUUGCUCCAGUGCUAUACACAAAAUUUCCCCACCACUCCACUUGAACAACAAUGACGAUCGAUAUCUCCUUUAUGGAUAUGGAUAUGUGACUAGAGUGCAAAGUUAA
rnacentral:lncRNA from 1 species